CCCCAGAUGUUGCUGAACUACAACUCCCAUGGCUAUCUAUGUAAUUCAAAGAAUCAUGGGACUUGUAGUUCAGCAACAUCUGGGG